GGAGUCCAGCUGACACAGGUCUCGGCCAGGGCUCUACCUGCGCUCAGGAUUGGAAAAGCUGUGCGCAAAGAGGGGCGCGUUGGUUCUCCGCAACUGGGAGCAGAAACCGGCCUGGGUCAGCCAGUGGACUGGUUGGAAGUAGAGAACUGAAAGAAAACCAACACCCUAGCGAGGCCAAGGGGUAAGCGUAGUCCUCACCCCUCAUCAAGGAAACUUCCCUUGGCAACAGACAUCGAUCAUUACAGAAAACUGCAACCAAUCAAAUUGCAGCUGUACAGCCCAAUCCCAGCAGAUACAGCUACAAAACAACUCUUGCAACAAAGCUCGGGGAUCGAUGUGAAGGAGAGAAUGGGAAGAUUGUAAGAUCCAGGGGAUCGAGGAAUUUGCUACGAGACAGUGUCUCCCAGAAGCUACACACCCAUGAAGUCUCACCAAUAUAGCUGCCUAAAUGUGACCUGAGUAAUGACACCAGUCGCCAUGUUAACACAGAUCAGGGAAAGCCAGGGAGGCUACACCCCCACCUGCAGCCAACUAAGAAAUGCUGGGGUUGGGAAAAAUAGUCUUCCCCUAGGAAGAGAACUGCAGUUGUUAUGCCAUACCACAUGGUCAGCACUGAAAACAUAUAUAUACAACUAAUAUUAUACAGGCUGAGCCAAUUGCAUUUACACAUUUAGGAAUAUAAAUAUACACAUAUAUGUGUGUAAUAACAACCAAGUUUUGUUUUGUUUAUUUUUUUAAAAAGGCCAUGAAUUUGAAAGAAAACAAGGGGAAGGAUAUAUGAGAGGGUUUGGGGAGAGGAAAGGGAAGGGGAAAAUGAUGUAAUUAUAUUAUAAUCUCAAAAAAAAAAAACGUAACAUGAAAUAACACAAACUGCUCUCAUCAAGAAGAUGAGAAGGGCCUCAAAGCUGAGAGUCAACCCAGGGAUUCUGGGUGGGAUUUUUAAAAUUUACUUAUAUGUAUUUUUUUACAGUCCAGCCUGUCUCCCCCCAUACCUGAUCCGGCCCUGCUUUCCCCUCCUCCUCCCCCUCUCCCACCCAGCUCCCUCCCUCCCUCUGCCUCCCAUGAUUAUUUUCUUCUCCCUUUCUAAGUGGGAUUGAAGCCUCCUCACUAGGGCCCUUCUGCUUGUUAACCUUCUUGCAGUCUGUGGGAUGUAGCCUACAUGUUCUGUACUUUUGGGCUAAUAUCCACUUAUCAGUGAGUAGCUACCAUACGUGUCCUUUGGGUCUGGGUUACCUCACUCAGGAUGAUAUUUUCUGCUUCCAUCCAUUUGCCUGCAAAAGUCAUGAUGUCCUUGUUUUUAAUAGCUGAGUAGUAUUACAUUGUGUAAAUGAACCACAUUUUCUGUAUCCAUUCCUCUAUUGAGGGACAUCUGGGUUGUUUUCAGCUUCUGGUUAUUAUAAAUAAGGCUGCUAUGAACAUAGUGGAGCAAGUGUCCUUGUGAUAUGGUGGGCAUCUUUUGGGUAUAUGGCUGUACUGGCUAGUUUUGUGUCAACUUGACACAGCUGGAGUUAUCACAGAAAAAGGAGCUUCAGUUGAGGAAAUGCCUCCAUGAGAUCCAACUGUAAGGCAUUUUCUCAAUUAGUGAUCAAGGNNNNNNNNNNNNNNNNNNNNNAUCCCUCCAUGGCUUCUGUAUCAGCUCCUGCUUUCUGACCUGCUUGAGUUCCAGUCCUGACUUCCUUGGUGAUGAACAGCAGUAUGGAAAUGUAAGCUGAAUAAACCCUUUCCUCCCCAAUUUGCUUCUUGGCCAAGAUGUUUGUGCAGGAAUAGAAACCCUGACUAAGACAAUGGCCAAGAGUGGUAUAGCUGGAUCUUCAUGUAGAACUACUUCCAAUUUUCUGAGUAACCUCCAGAUUGAUUUCCAGAGUGGUUGUACCAGCUUGCAAUCCGACCAGCAAAGGAAGAGAGUUCCUCUUUCUUCACAUCCUUGUCAGCAUGUGCUGUCACUUGAGUUUUUGAUCUUAGCCAUUCUGGUUAGUAUAAGGAGGAAUCUCAGAGUAAUUUUGAUAUGCAUUUCCCUGAUGACUAAGAACUUUGACUAUUUCAUUGUUUUAUUUUUUUCUUUUUGUUCAGUAAUGAUUAUAAUUUUAUUUAUUGUCUUUAAGGGAGAUGAGAAUAAAACAAACCUAGAGAAAGAGAAGACUAAAAUAUUAAAUGCUAGAUUGAAGGCCAUAGAAGAGAAAUUAUAGGAUAUUUUAAGUCAAAAUAAAGAACCUUCUAAGAAUCCAAUGUGGAACCUACC
rnacentral:lncRNA from 1 species